rfam:Nocardioides dokdonensis FR1436, complete genome.
AGGGGGAAGCCGGUCGAAGCCCGGCGCUGACCCGCAACCGUAGACCGCCUUCGAGCGGUGAGCCGGAGCACCC